GGAAGGUAUUAUUUGGAAUGUAGUUCACAUUUGUAGUAGUAAAUAAUAAUAAUAAUGUGCACGAGUUAGAUAAUCAUUAAAAUAAAAUGAAGAAUGAUAACAAUCUCAAUGUCUAAUGUUUUAAUCAAGCUUCAUGCAUUUAAGUAAUGUAGUACCCGUGUUGUUAUUUGUAGGUCCUCUUUAUUUCAUUCAAUUAUUCAUUUCUAUAAUUCGUGAAUCGCGGUGUCACGCUAUUGUGCCGCAUUCAAUGGUUGAACAAAUUGUAUAAAUACCAGGGGCAAUGCUAUGCCCAAACUAUGAAAAAACUAGAUCAAGAAACAGAAAGCAUUGAUCUUCAGGUUUGUGUACAGUUCAACUAUACACAGGUCAACUUCUAAAUCCUAAAUGUUGAUGGAUUUAAAUUUGCCCAAACGAAACACAAUGCCCGUUCAAACUGCCGAGACAUGCAAAAACUACAAGACAGCUGAAAAUACACUUCGCAAUGCCAAAUUAAAGCCUACUCUAAAAGAAGAAAAUCGGGGUUCUUGCUUCAUGAGAAUGCUUGCACAGCCAGGAUUUCCAAGUGAUCUGAAAGAAAAGACCAGUUUACAAAAAGCAUUCAACCAUUUCAUAAAGAGGCCUAACUGAAUUUCAAUCAUUAAGUGCAUAUUUGGUAUGGACUGCACAGUGUAGUGAAUCAUAUUUUUCUUACUUGAUACUGUACAGUGCAAUCCUCCAUGCCAAACAUGCUUGCCAAAAGGAUGGUGAUAAUACGCAAAUUGAACUUCUAUUUUGCAAGCUAGAAGACACGAAUAACCAAUUACAGAUUCCUUGUAAAUCUAGAAUAUUUCCAUUUCAAGUUUUUCAAGUAGGUUAGAAAAAUCUCAAAAAUCCUGCUACAGGGUCUUCCAAUAUUAAUCUAGAUGAGACAGUAGGGACCAAGAAUCCAUUUGAACCAGACAAAACUGGAUUAGCACCGUAUACCCAAUUUUUCCAUAGAAUUUAGGUUAGUAGGUUACAUUUUGGAGUAAGGCGGGAAGGCCAGGCAAAUGAAGGACAUUUGUAUCAAAAGGUCACUGCCUCCAAGAAGGCAUUUUGAACAACUGAACCAAAGAGACACUUGGCAGCAAGCAAAAUCUCAUCGUCUAUUACAUUAUGAACCAUGUAAUGCAAUAGACAACACAUGCUUGAGUUGCACUUUAGCAGUAAACAUCAACCAUCCUCUGUGACGAAAUAUUCUACAUGUUAGUAACAUGACUGUCGUAUCUUGUUGCUACAUUUUAAAAUGGGCAAAAGAAAAAACAUAGAGAUAACUUCUGAUGGUCGCUUCACUUUUUGGAGGUCAAUAUUCGUUUUGGAUGGGAAAAAGAUCACAACACUAAAGUCAAAAUGAUUAUUUGCAACAAGAGAUGAUUUCAAUAUCUCUAUUUCUUUCCCCUUAAGCUACAUGUAAAAGCUAUAGCAAUAUGUUGUUCUCUUAACGUCCAAAUGCAACACACACUUGCACUGGUUUUAAGGAGAACAUUAUUAUAGCUUCACAUAACAUAGUCACAUGAUUGAGUAAAAGAUCACGCAACAUAUACAGUGUGAAGCCACGGGUUCUACGUGUAGCUUCAUAAAAAAAAAAAUUUAAAGUAAAAUUGAGAAUUAUAAAUAACGAAAUGCCAGAUAAGAAAAAUUUGAGAUUGUCCUGCCAAGAUACCAGUUGGCUGCUUCAGGACUGAAAAACUUAUUAAAUAGGUAUUUUGAAAUAAAAUAAGGGUAGAGGAAAAUCCUCAGUUUGAAUCUAGGAAGCACCGACACGCUCCCGGCAACGACGUACCGGUGUCCGAUCGCGUCCGACACGUCGCCGACGCGUGUCGGAGUCACGGAGCCGUGUGGCUUUGGUGGGCUGAAAAAAAGAAACCAGUGGAAAGAAAGAAGAAAAAAGAGAAGAAGAAGAAGAAGAAGAAGAAGAGGAAGAGGAAGAAGAAGAACCUGUUACCUGUUGAUUGUCAGGCAUAGACAGAAAGAAAGAGAGAAGAGACGGCUGAAAUGAAAUGAAAAGUCAUGAUUUAUCAAAGCAAAUUUCAAUUUGUGGGCCCACCACUGUAAAUUUUCUCCUUUUGUACACGUUUUGUAUCUUUUCAAUGGAUGUAAUCCUUUAUAAAAUAAUGUACAAUACUUUAUUUGAUCAAUUUGUACCAUUUUACCCUUCAACAACAAAUCAAACUUAUAUAACAACACAAACAUUUUCUUCCUCAGUCAGUAACUUGCGAAAAUUUCAGAACAUCCAAGUAUUUUUUUUGUUAUUUCAUCUUUUUCAAAAAUUUCAUCAAUCCACAUUUGAAGAAUCAUUUGCAAGAUAAAGAAGAAGAUAUUUUUUCAAGUUUCGGGUAAUAUCACUCCUAUUUUACUUAAGUAUUUGAAAUUAUUUUUCUUUUGAAGUUAUGAGUGAUAAUGCUAUGGAUGAUGAUUUGUCUAAACCUCUUUGGAAAUAUGUUACAAAACUUGAUAAAUUUAAUGAAAAGGGUGGUAACAUUAUUUGGCAAUGUAAUUUUUGUAAUGCAACUAAGACAAGUUCUUACACAAGAGUGAAGGCACAUUUGUUAAAAUUACAAGGCUAUGGAAUUGAGGCUUGUGUAAAAGUAACUAUGAAAGAUAUAUGUGAAAUGCAAAAAAUGGAAGAUGAAGCCAAGUUGAGAAUGCAAACUAAGGCGGGGAAAAGAGUGCCAUUGCCAUCGAAUAAUAUGGGUUCUAAGGAUUGUUAUGUUUUGGAGGAAAGGAAAAGAAAGAAUAGUGCAAUAGAAAAUGCUUUUAAUGUGACAACACGUGACCAAUUGGAUUCCGAAAUUGCUAAAAUGUUUUAUUCAAGUGGUUUGCCUUUUACUCUUGCAAGAAAUCCUUAUUACAUUAGUUCUUAUACUCUUGCUUCCAAUAGUCGAAUUUCGGGAUAUUUGCCUCCCGGUUACAACAAGUUGAGAACUACUCUUCUUCAAAAAGAGAAAAAAAAUGUGGAAAGAUUAUUAAAUCCAAUUAAAGGCACAUGGGCGGAAAAAGGAGUUACCAUUGUAAGUGAUGGAUGGAGUGAUCCACAAAGAAGACCACUAAUUAAUUUUAUGGCGGUGACCGAGAGUGGACCAAUGUUUUUAAAAGCGGUUGAUUGUUCCGGUGAAACAAAGGAUAAAUAUUUUAUUGCUAACUUGAUGAAGGAGGUUAUAAAUGAAAUUGGUCAUCAAAAGGUGGUUCAAGUAAUAACCGAUAAUGCUCCAAAUUGCAAAGGUGCCGGACAAAUAAUUGAAUUGGAGUAUCCUCAUAUUUUUUGGACACCAUGUGUUGUACACACACUAAAUCUUGCUUUGAAGAACAUUUGUGCCGCAAAGAAUGUUGAAAAUAAUUUGAUUACAUAUGAGGAAUGCAAUUGGAUUACUAAUCUUCAUGAUGAUGUAAUGAUUAUAAAAAAUUUUAUCAUGAACCAUUCCAUGAGACUAGCAAUGUUUAAUGAAUUUGUGCCUUUGAAGUUGCUUUCCGUAGCGAAGACACGAUUUGCUUCUAUUAUUGUCAUGUUAAAAAGAUUUAAGCUUAUUCGACGUGGUCUUCAAGCUUUGGUUAUUAGUGAAAAAUGGUCACUUUAUCGAGAAGAUGACAUGACGAAGGCAAGUUUUGUAAAAUUGAAAGUGUUUGAUGAUCUUUGGUGGGACUCUAUAAGUUAUGUUCUUUCCUUCACUUCUCCCAUUUAUGACAUGCUUAGAUUUUGUGAUACGGAUAAACCUUGCCUUCACUUGGUUUACGACAUGUGGGAUACAAUGAUUGAAAAAGUGAGAGGAAUAAUUUAUAGAAAUGAGAAAAAAGUUCAAGAAGAGGAAUCAUCAUUCUACAAUGUUGUUCAUCGGAUACUUGUAGAUCGUUGGAACAAAAAUAACACUCCACUUCAUUGCUUGUCUCAUUCCCUAAAUCCAAGGUAAUUUUUAAAUUUAAUUCAUACAUUUAAUGUUUAUUUACAUUAUCAUAAUAUUUAAUAUGUUUAGUUAGUUAUUGAAUGAAUUGUCAUUUUUUUAUUUUUUUCCUCUUGUUUAGGUACUAUAGCGAUGAAUGGCUUAAUGAGGAUCCCACUCGACUUGCUCCACAUCGAGAUGUAGAGAUUUCAAGAGAAAGAAUAAAAUGUUUUAAGAGGUACUUGUCAAAUGAAGAGCGUAUUAUGGUGAAUAAGGAGUAUGCCAAAUUCUCAACUAUGGAAGAUGACUUUGGUGAUUUUGAAUCCAUCCAUGAUCGUUACCGCUUGGACCCAAAGACUUGGUGGGUUAUUUAUGGUGCUUGCACGCCUAUGCUUCAAAGUUAUGCUUUGAGAUUAUUGGGGCAACCAUUUCUUCAUCGUGUUGUGAGCGAAAUUGGAGUACUUAUUCCUUUUUGCACUCUCUUAAACGGAAUAAGCUAACUCCAAAACGUGCGGAAGAUUUGAUUUUCGUCCAUAGCAAUCUUCGUCUCUUGUCAAGGAGGAGUGCGCAAUACUCACAAGGAGAGACUAAAAUGUGGGAUAUCGGUGGAGAUGCAUUUGAUACAUUUGAAGAUAUUGGUGUGCUUGAAGUCGCUAAUUUAUCUCUAGACGAACCGGAAUUGGAAGCGAUGGUAUUUGCUGAUGGAGAUGAAGAUGUUGAAGAGAUUCAAGAUGAAUGAUGUAAUUAAUUUCAUUUUUACUUUUUGAACUUAUGUCAUUAAGAAACAUUGAUGAAUUUAAUGUCAAGUUUGAUUUCUAUUUAUCAUUAUAUAUAUGAUUAAAUAAGUACACAAAAUUAAUACUUUAGACUAUAAAAUUAAAAUAAACAAAAAAAUUUUUUUAAUCAACGUGUCGGCGAC
rnacentral:lncRNA from 1 species